rnacentral:rRNA from 1 species
UACGGGGGGAGCAAGCGUUGUUCGGAUUUACUGGGCGUAAAGGGCGCGUAGGCGGCCACCGCAAGUCAGUUGUGAAAUCUCUGGGCUUAACCCAGAACGGUCAGCUGAUACUGCGGGGCUAGAGUGCAGAAGGGGCAACUGGAAUUCUCGGUGUAGCGGUGAAAUGCGUAGAGAUCAGGAAGAACACCGGUGGCGAAAGCGUUCUGCUGGGCUGCGACUGACACUGAGGGACGAAAGCUAGGGGAGCGAAUGGG